AAUAUAGCAUUACGCAUUACAGUAUAGUGAGUGACAUACUGUAGUGCGUAGCGUACGGCAUA
rnacentral:precursor_RNA from 1 species